AUUUCCUGUAGGUUUGGAGAGUUGAGUGGAAUAUAACUGGCACAAUUCUGGCUUCCUCUGGAGAUGAUGGCUGUGUACGUUUAUGGAAAGCUAACUAUCUUAACAACUGGAAGUGUAUAACAGUUUUACGUGGAGAUGGCAUCUCAGGUUCCAUGCCUGGCCCCAGUAUGAGUGGUCCAAUCAUGAAUGGGCAGGAUCCAAAACAAGGUCUUGCUGCAUUCAAGACACAGACUUCAUGGUACACAUCAUAACACAGUACUCUCUGUUUACCAAGGACACCUUUUUAGAUGCUGAUCAGAAUACAUUUUGAUCAACACCAUCAGCAAUUAACAAGAGUAACAAAGAAUUAACUGAGAUAUGAGCUAAUCAGACAUCUUGGUAAACUUCAGUAUUUACAAUUACUAGUUACAAGUGGAAGAAAACACCAGUGAAAGAGCUUUUUUUUUUCUUUCUAAGAAUAAGAGAACAGUUCUAGCUCUAGUUUUAUGAAGGGUAGAUAUCACUGUUACUGUGGAUAGGGCAGUAAGUUUUCCUAACACCUAUUGGCUGGAUACCAAUUAUCCCUUAAUUACAGUUGUCUGCCCUUUAAACAACUGGAACCUGAUAAACUUAUUUCUUCAAGCAGAUGCCUCUCAAUAUGGAUAGAUUUUAGGAAAGAUGAAGGAAAAAUUCCAUAUAGAAGAGAAGGGUGUUGAACUUUGUCCUGUUGAAUGAACCAAAAUUUCCUGGAGGGAGCUUUCCAGGGGGAGGGGUGCAGGGAGGAGACUCGCAGCUUAUUGAUAAACUUUGCAGCUAUAUAUAAUCUGCUGUCGUUUGUUAUGUAUUCUCAGUAGUUACAUUAUGCUAUUCAGUGCCUAGUCAGUAGCCUUCUCUUUGUUGUUUGCUUCAAAAAUUUGCUUUAAUCACCUGUCAAUUACUUGCUUACUAGCAGUGUACCCCCUUCUAAGAAAAAUGCUGGAUCCACUCCUGCGAAUGGGUACAAAAUCGUAUCAUUGCAUAUUCAGUGAAUUAAACUUAAUUCCUACUAUAUGUUUAUGGAAGAGUCAGAUCAACAGAAAAAAUGUUAGUCACAAUCAGGUAUGAUUUCUUUUGGUAUUGUGCUAAUCUACAAGUAUUUGUUCCAUACACAUACUGUUGUUAAUUAAUUCUAUUCUUUAGGAAGCACUUAGUAGGCUUAAAUAUGUAGAAGUAGUUGACUUUGGUUGGUUAAUCACUUCUUCUUGAUAGGUGUAUCUGUACAGUGUGCCUAUUCGCAGUACUGAUUGUGAUUAAUUAUUGCUGAGGUCCUUUUGACCAAUUUAUCAAGGAAAACGGUUUCGUUCAGAAUUGUGAAAGCUGUACAAUAGUGUUUUAAGGAUACCUAGUACCUAACCAUUCUUUGAUUUUCCUUUGAGGAACAUACCUAUCUUGGUAAAUAAAACAUAUUUUUAAACACUUAGUUAGAGUGUUUAUAGGCAGGCAAACUGCCUCAGUCUAUAGAAUUGAUGCAGCUAAAGUGAGUCACACCUCACAUAAAAAAACAUUAUCCCUUUUCAAGUCAUUAGUAACAAACAGAGAAUUUUCACCUCCACAAAAAAAACAAUCAUUUUUUCAGACAAAAGAAAUAAAUUCAAGAAUAAUAUUACCAUAUUCUUGAUGUCUAGAAGACACUGACAUUUGUCCUUGGUGGGUUUACUUGUGAAUUCGUGUUUCUCUUCAAAUUAUUCAAAAGUCACACACACAGCAAAAAACUAAAUGAAUCCAUUCAACUGCUUAGAGCUAAAUUCAAUCCAGACUUAAAAAACAAUGUAAGUCCUAUCUCACAAUCAAAAUUACUGAGGACUUCACAAAAAAAACAAAAAUUUGCAGUCAACUUAUUUUCAUACCAAAAGCAUUUGAUCCACUGAGGCUUGAAUCAAA